AUGAUAUGGUGACUUCUAGGUUUGGUAAUAAAUGAUGAUAUGGUGACUUCUAGGUUUGGUAAUACAUGAUGAUAUGGUGACUUCUAGGUUUGGUAAUACAUGAUGAUAUGGUGACUUCUAGGUUUGGUAAUACAUGAUGAUAUGGUGACUUCUAGGUUU